GCCACCGCGCAGAUCAGUUGGAAUUUAGCAGCGAACGCGAUGUGAUCGAAGCGGAACUGAACUACGGCCUUCUUAUCCUGAUAUUACGGAGCCUUCGUCGCUGGAUCGCAACAAGGACCCGGCCAGAAAAUUUCAUUUAGCUCGUGCUUAACUAGAGGCCCACUAACCAAAUUAGUCGAUAAGAAAAGCUUUAGUAAUACUAGCUGUAAUCCCAUAUUUGUAUGUAGUUUGGCUCUUAGUUGAUCUAUGUUAUGCUUGUGCUUAUUAUUAUUAUUAUUAUUCAAUUCGUACUUUAAAUAAAAUGCUUUGAAUUUUGCCAAUUUUGAUUUGCGCUUUUUAAUAUUUGAGCUAAUCGAUCAAACAUGAGGAGGAGUAGCAGCUACUGGAUCGACUCAUCAA